rnacentral:rRNA from 1 species
AGAGUUCAAGAGUACGUGAAACCGUUCAGGGGUAAACCUGAGAAACCCAAAAGAUCGAAUGGGGAGAUUCAUCGUCAGCACAUUUUGUAUAUGUAUAAUUUAUGAUAUGGGUUACUCUUGUAGUAUUGCCUAUACGUAUUUGUGCAUUUAGUUGCAGAAUGUUGUCGGCGUGCACUUCUCCCCUAGUAGAACGUCGCGACUCGUUGAGUGUUGGUCUACGACCAAAGGCGGAAGACUUUAAUAUUUUAAAUAUAUUAAAGACCCUUUGUGUUUUCUGACCAUCUGCUCGGCGAUUUCUUAUGGUAUUAAGCCGCAUUUAAUUUGCGUCCAUAUCCUCGCAGCGAGGCAAGUUUUUAGUAUUACGGACCUAGUGCCGUCGCUAAAUCUGGCCAGCUGUUGGUUGUAACGGUAUUCUAGGACUGGCUUAAAACAAAAUUUAUUGGUCAGCGAUGCUACUGCUUUGGGUACUUUCAGGACCCGUCUUGAAACACGGACCAAGGAGUCUAACAUGUGCGCAAGUCAUUGGGAUAUUUUUUUAAAAUUAAACCUAANGGCGUAAUGAAAGUAAAGGUCGACCUUGUGUCGAUNAANGGAGGAUGAAUUGUAUAAUUAACAAUUGACAAUUUCGCACUCCCGGGGCGUCUCACUCUCAUUGCGAGAGAAGGCGCACCUAG